AUGAACGCUGGCGGCGUGCCUAAUACAUGCCAGUCGAGCGGACGGACGAGAAGCUUGCUUCUCUGAUGUUAGCGGCGGACGGGUGAGUAACACGUGGAUAACCUACCUAUAAGACUGGGAUAACUUCGGGAAACCGUAGCUAAUACCGGAUAAUAUUUUGAACCGCAUGGUUCAAAAGUGAAAGACGGUCUUGCUGUCACUUAUAGAUGGAUCCGCGCUGCAUUAGCUAGUUGGUAAGGUAACGGCUUACCAAGGCAACGAUGCAUAGCCGACCUGAGAGGGUGAUCGGCCACACUGGAACUGAGACACGGUCCAGACUCCUACGGGAGGCAGCAGUAGGGAAUCUUCCGCAAUGGGCGAAAGCCUGACGGAGCAACGCCGCGUGAGUGAUGAAGGUCUUCGGAUCGUAAAACUCUGUUAUUAGGGAAGAACAUAUGUGUAAGUAACUGUGCACAUCUUGACGGUACCUAAUCAGAAAGCCACGGCUAACUACGUG
rnacentral:rRNA from 1 species